rnacentral:rRNA from 1 species
GACGUAGGGGACGAGCGUUGUCCGGAUUUAUUGGGCGUAAAGCGCGCGUAGGCGGCUUGGAAAGUCGGAUGUGAAAAUCCGGGGCUCAACCCCGGACCUGCAUCCGAUACUUCCAGGCUAGAGGUAGGUAGGGGAGAUCGGAAUUCCUGGUGUAGCGGUGAAAUGCGCAGAUAUCAGGAGGAACACCGGUGGCGAAGGCGGCGCUCUGGACCGAGACUGACGCUGAGGCGCGAAAGCGUGGGGAGCAAACAGG